rnacentral:ncRNA from 1 species
UUCGUACUACCAUGGAAGUCUUUCGCAGAGAGAUAUGGUAGAUGUGGCUGAGAAGAGCAUGACAUAUACUGUUGUGUCGAUAUUUUCUCCUCGGACCUUGAAAAUUUAUGGUGGGGACACGCAAACUUCUCAACAGGCCGUACCAAUAUCCGCAGCUGGUCUCCAAGGUGAAGAGUCUCUAGUCGAUAGAAUAAUGUAGGUAAGGGAAGUCGGCAAAUUAGAUCCGUAACUUCGGGAUAAGGAUUGGCUCUGAAGAUUGAGAUAGUCGGGCUUGAUUGGGAAACAAUAACAUGGUUUAUGUGCUCGUUCUGGGUAAAUAGAGUUUCUAGCAUUUAUGUUAGUUACUUGUUCCCCGGAUAGUUUAGUUACGUAGCCAAUUGUGGAACUUUCUUGCUAAAAUUUUUAAGAAUACUAUUUGGGUUAAACCAAUUAGUUCUUAUCAAUUAUAACGAUUAUCAAUUAACAAUCAAUUCAGAACUGGCACGGACUUGGGGAAUCCGACUGUCUAAUUAAAACAAAGCAUUGUGAUGGCCCUAGCGGGUGUUGACACAAUGUGAUUUCUGCCCAGUGCUCUGAAUGUCAAAGUGAAGAAAUUCAAGUAAGCGCGGGUCAACGGCGGGAGUAACUAUGACUCUCUUAAUGCCGACAAAUGUUUUACCGUUGGCAUUAAGGGCCAGCCGAAACAGAAGUGUACCGUGCUAGAGGCACAGAGCUUUUACGUAGGCUCAAGGGAGAUUCCAUCAUUGAAGCGAACGGACGAGUGGAAGU